AGUGAACGCUGGCGGUAGGCCUAACACAUGCAAGUCGAACGGCAGCACAGUAAGAGCUUGCUCUUACGGGUGGCGAGUGGCGGACGGGUGAGGAAUACAUCGGAAUCUACUUUUUCGUGGGGGAUAACGUAGGGAAACUUACGCUAAUACCGCAUACGACCUACGGGUGAAAGCAGGGGAUCUUCGGACCUUGCGCGAUUGAAUGAGCCGAUGUCGGAUUAGCUAGUUGGCGGGGUAAAGGCCCACCAAGGCGACGAUCCGUAGCUGGUCUGAGAGGAUGAUCAGCCACACUGGAACUGAGACACGGUCCAGACUCCUACGGGAGGCAGCAGUGGGGAAUAUUGGACAAUGGGCGCAAGCCUGAUCCAGCCAUACCGCGUGCGUGAAGAAGGCCUUCGGGUUGUAAAGCCAUUUUGUUGGGAAAGAAAAGCAGCAGGUUAAUACCCCGCUGUUCUGACGGUACCCAAAGAAUAAGCACCGGCUAACUUCGUG
rnacentral:rRNA from 1 species